ACCAGCACCUCAAGUGGUCAGGAGGAUUAUUGGGCCUAAAGCAUCCGUAGCCGGCUCUGUAAGUUUUCGGUUAAAUCCAUGUGCUCAACGCAUGGGCUGCCGAAAAUACUGCAUAGCUAGGGAGUGGGAGAGGUAGACGGUACUCGGUAGGAAGGGGUAAAAUCCUUUGAUCUAUCGAUGACCACCUGUGGCGAAGGCGGUCUACCAGAACACGUUCGACGGUGAGGGAUGAAAGCUGGGGGAGCAAACCGG
rnacentral:rRNA from 1 species